UACGGGGGGGGCUAGCGUUGUUCGGAAUUACUGGGCGUAAAGGGCGCGUAGGCGGCCUACUAAGUCGGACGUGAAAUCCCUCGGCUCAACCGGGGAACUGCGUCUGAUACUGGAUGGCUUGAGUUUGGGAGAGGGAUGCGGAAUUCCAGGUGUAGCGGUGAAAUGCGUAGAUAUCUGGAGGAACACCGGUGGCGAAGGCGGCAUCCUGGACCAACACUGACGCUGAGUGAGCGAAAGCCAGGGGAGCAAACGGG
rnacentral:rRNA from 1 species